rnacentral:tRNA from 1 species
GUAUAGCGGGAUUGAGGCACGGAUUGAAAAUCCGCGUGUCGGUGGUUCGAUUCCGCCCCAGGCCACCA